rnacentral:rRNA from 1 species
GACGAACGCUGGCGGCGUGCUUAACACAUGCAAGUCGAACGGAAAGGCCCUGCUUUUGUGGGGUGCUCGAGUGGCGAACGGGUGAGUAACACGUGAGUAACCUGCCCUUGACUUUGGGAUAACUUCAGGAAACUGGGGCUAAUACCGGAUAGGAGCUCCUGCUGCAUGGUGGGGGUUGGAAAGUUUCGGCGGUUGGGGAUGGACUCGCGGCGUAUCAGCUUGUUGGUGGGGUAGUGGCUUACCAAGGCUUUGACGGGUAGCCGGCCUGAGAGGGUGACCGGCCACAUUGGGACUGAGAUCCGGCCCAGCCUCCUACGGGAGGCAGCAGUGGGGAAUAUUGCACAAUGGGCGGAAGCCUGCUGCAGCAGCGCCGCGUGCGGGAUGACGGCCUUCGGGUUGUAAACCGCUUUCGCCUGUGACGAAGCGUGAGUGACGGUAAUGGGUAAAGAAGCACCGGCUAACUACGUG